UCUCCCCCACGAAAAUGCAGCUCCACCUAGCUCCCAUGGCCGGCCAUGGCCAUGGAAAGAACUCCAAGAUGAAGCUCCCUCCUCCCUCAAGCUCCUCCUCACCAUGAGAGCCUCCCUCUCCUUCUUCUCCCCAACCCUAGAUGGUUUUCUCUCCUCUUCCCCUUCCUCCAUUGCUAAGAUUGGAUCUUGAUGCAGGUGCAUGUUGGUCCAAGCAUGGAGAAGCUUGAGCUAUCCUCAGAUCUGAAGUUCUUGAGCAAAAUCCAAAUCGAGUGAUUCAAAGUUCCGCCGAUAGAUACGGAAAAGAUCUACAACUUGGCGUUGGUCUCAUCCUCAAAUUCGUUACGGAUUGUCCGUGGGGAUGUUUGGUUUAUACCAUGGUGAUAACCGAGAGAGGCAAUUGCUAAGUUGUGAUACUCUCAUACCUUUACUAGACGCGAGCAAUUCCGGAGAAGAAGAAGAAGUGGAAUUGGACAAGGAUUUUAUUUAUAUUGUUGGGAUUCUUAUAUUGAUAGAGUUGAAGAAGUACAGGGACAAAUAAGCCAAGGCAAGCCAUUUACUUUGAUCCAUCGUUCUCUAUGUUCUUGAUUGAGAUCUUGCCAUCCUUUGGUCUCUUGGCUCCUUAUGUUCCUUGGGUUUUCGAUUACUUUGUUUCUUUACAUACUUGCCACCAAGUAUGUAAGGUUCUCCUUGUUACUUUGCAUACCUACUCUAAGUAUGCGAAUUACGUUCAUCGCCUUUUGACACCUCUAAUUCUAGUAAAGAUAUGGGUUAACCUCAUUAAAAAUUGCUCCACUUUUGAUUAUCUCCAUUUAUGCUCAAUGUGAGUAUGGAUGUCUUUGUCACCCUUCAUGGUAUAAUGGCAACUUUUGGGCUAUUAUACUUCUUAGUUCACGCAUAAACUUUAGGUUGGGAAAACCCUCAAGGUUUUACCUUGUUGUAAAAGUUUUUGAUAAAACCUUGGGCAUGAUGUUUUCCCCAAGUGAGGAUUUAUGAAAGGAAAGGAUUUGGUAAAAAUGAUGAGGAUGUGAAAAAGGUUGGGUUUUAUGAAAACUUUGGCGCCUAAGUACUCACCCAUGACAAUUAACUAGCGCAACCACAAUAUCCAAAGUGGGCACGGGCUUAGUCCGUAGUUUGUUGAAUUUGACAUGAGAUACCUUCACCACUCUCUAGGAGGGUCACGAUGACCUCUGACACCGGGUUGCGCUCUGAAGGAGGCAAUACACUGCAUUAACUUGCA